ACGGAGGGUGCAAGCGUUGCUCGGAAUUACUGGGCGUAAAGGGCGUGUAGGCGGUUAUGUAAGUCAGAUGUGAAAUCCAAUAGCUUAACUUUUGAACUGCAUUUGAAACUGUAUAACUCGAAUGCGGCAGAGGGAAACGGAAUUUCUGGUGUAGGGGUAAAAUCCGUAGAUAUCAGGAGGAACACCGGUGGCGAAGGCGAUUUACUGGGCUGAUAUUGACGCUGAGGCGCGAAAGCGUGGGGAGCAAACAG
rnacentral:rRNA from 1 species